AGUUUGACUUGCCGUGCUCGGUUCAGUCAGUCGUCGUUCGAGCAUUAGGCAACAUUUAAUUUUAAUUUUAAUAUUUAAGUAGCUCUAAGUGUACAUAACACUAUCGAAACGAACAGCAAAGAGAGGAAAGAAACGGAAACCCUUUGCAAGAAAACAAAAGUCUCUAGCAUAGACAAAACGAAACACGAAGAGUUACAAAAAUUGUUAAAUUAAAAAAAAAUACUACACACAUAAAAAUUGUGCUACAUCGAACAAUUGAAACGAAACGAACCUAACGUGAAACCGGUGCAAAGUGAAUCAUCUGAUGAAGUGAAUCAUAACGAAGCGAAUUGAAGCAAAAUAUUUACGCAACAAACGAGAAUCGCACUGAAAAUCUUCUCAUUACACGAGGGAAUCAAACGACACGUGUAUUAUUUAAUUUACUUUCGAAAUUACUUGCAACGAACAACCGACUAAACUGUGUCGGUGGUCUGGCGAAAAAAGUUUUACGAUUUCCAUUUUUGAGUGUUAUUUUUAUUGCGAAAUACGCGAAAGCUCUAAUUACGAGUUCUGUUACAAUAAAAUAUAAAAUCGGAGAGUGAACAAACAAAAGUGAACUGUGAGUUGUUUUUUUUAUAAGUUAAUAAGUUCUGUUCAAGUUUAAUCUACAUAAAAUUCAAACACUUUGUAAGAAAAAAGGUGCGAUUACUCGUCGGAAUUCUUACGCGUGUGGGAACUGUGAUAAUACACGCAAUCAGCCAAGUGUGGGGAGCACAAGUGUGACUAGAAGAAAACGAAACAAACAGAACUAAAACGGAAAAUUGCGACCGUGCGUGCGUGCGUGAAGUGACCGAAGCAGCAAAGCGAACGUGCCCAGGGUGGCGCGCAGCCAGAAGUGUGGCGUUGGCGGUGUUGUAAAAAUAAUUGAAAUCCGUACCACCGGGUCCCCACAUUGCGAGGACGUGCGAACGCAUUGGAUCUGUUGGUGACCGAUUGUGAAGUGUAAAUAGUUUACUUCAAACCACACCCAACAGGACUGGGACCGGAGCAAAAAAAAGGAUCGAUUUACUCCCGGACACUACGACUAAAACCCAACACCCACAGCACGGCACAUUGAACCUCCAGUGUGGUACGAGUAAAACAAUUCGUCACACAGACAGCAAAACGAGAAGUUCAUCGUCAUCCUGUUGUUUGAGGUUCUCCGGCGCAAAAUCAAAGUGAAGACGCCCCCAUAGUGCAUAUGAACAGUGCACCAAACAUUGAAACUAAAGCAUAUUAAAGUGACAACAGAGAGUGUCCCCAAAAGCCGCCUACAGUGUGCGGAAGAUAGUGUUAAAAUUAAAAUUUAAAUGUACUGCCUACUUGGAGAGCAUCACCAUACGCAUCAGCAGGCCCAACAAUAGCAACGCACGGAGGUUUAAGAGAUCAGUGAUAUACAGUGAAGAAAUAUUAAAUCGAAUACGCAACAAUGGCGAAUGAAGAACAGCAAUUCAACGCCACAACCGGUACGGUGAAAACGAUCCUCAAUAAUGCAUCCCUUACAGAACAACAAUUGAGCAGUGAAGAAAAUGCCAGAUCCUACAGAGAUGUAGUGAAGAAUGCAUCUGCAAAUAGUGACGCAGAGCACACGGGAAAUGGUGCUCAACCGAAGGCAACAAACGUGAGACAAAAACGUAAGAAGGCAUCCGAAAAGCAGGACGCUAACCUCAUUUUGGACGGUAAACCAUCGAUAGAUCAUCGAUCAGUUAUGGAUAAGGAAUCGACCGUAUCCUCCCAACCCGCACCAUCUUCAGAAGCAUUGGGAAAUCUUUCCAAAGCGAAUGGGAAACGUUUGAAGUUGGAUCUUAAGACCAACCAGGAACAGCACACAGUUGAUCCAACGUCACCAUUGGGGCUUUUGCAUGAGGAGAAAGUGAUCGUAAGAAGCAAACCACCGAUUCCACCGAAACCGGACGUCCGGACGAUACAAGCAUCGUCCCAAGGGCAACACAAGGCCACUGUUUCGCCCGCAACGCCACACACUAAGGGCAAGAAGCAGCAGGUGACCGAGGCCCACAAUGCACAUACCGUCCAGAAGCUGUUGGCCCAGAAUGAACAAAUGCGGCUAGAACUGAGCGAACUCCGAAGCAGCUUAGCUGCGGAGCGGAAUGCUGUCAGAGUGUUGCGGGCCCAAAAUGAGUCCGAUCUGCGAAAGACUAAAUCCGAAUGCAAGAAACUGCAGGAAGCUCUGCAGCAUCAGAAACGCCAUACCCAGGCUCAGGGCCAGUGCCAGAGCGUGACCGUGGGCGGUGGUACGCCGGCCAAGCGGGCACACCGUGGAUCGGCAGAACAGCAAGAGCCACACGGUGGGUGGACUUCGGAGACACGCGGACCGCACCAUCAGCAGCAAUGUUGUUUGGAAGUUCUGAAGCUGAAUCAGGAGAUUUCUGCCCUGCGGGAAACGAACAAAUUCUUAGAGGAAAAAUAUCAAAUUUCCUCCGAGGCUGAACGGCAGAAAGCUUCCGAUAUUCGCGUACAGCGGGAUUUGCACGAACUACGAUUGACUCAACUUUCCAAGUCAGCCAGAAACGAAAUCCAGCGCAUGCUGGAGGAGCUGAAAUCGAAGGAUCGCAGCAUAGCGCAGCUCAAGAAAGAGCUCCAGGCUGCGCUAGCUGCCCAGGCAGGGACCGGCGGUGGAUGUCGCAAGGAGAGAAAGGCUGCUAAAAAUUCCGCUCAGCAAUCGCACGAGAUGCGAAAAUUGCGUGAGACAGAACCAUGUAGCGGAACUAUCAGCAAAAGCAACAGCAAUAACAGCAUCCAAUCCGUCACCGACGAUUACGAACAGCUGGAAACGAAAGAAUCUCUGGAGCUGACUAUUGUCACUGCGACAACCACGACGACCGCAGUCCCGGCAGCGGAAGAAGCGUCGACACACGACUGCAGCUGCCGUACGACACGGAACACAAGUGAAACAGAAGCAAAUAAUAUAGACGUAGCGAUAGAAACAACGACGUGCGGCAACGAUGAGGCUGAACGGCCAACGCUGUCGCACGAAUUAUGUAAACGAACCAAGGAAGCUCACAGCAACGACAGCAGUAGUGCCUGCAGCGUAGUACUAGAAUCGAAGGGCAUUUCUUCUUAUUUUGCACCGAACGCAACAGACAUCGCAUCCGCACAACAAACGAUCGUUUCAAUCGAGUGCCAACAAGCGUCCUUUAGUUCUGAUCCGGAUUCGGCCCUUUCUUCGAUGAGUCCGCAACCGAACAGCUUUACCGGUGAUGCACCGCAGGACGAUCCCUGGAAUGUCCAACAUUCGCCGAUCGUCCGGGAGGAGGGCAAAUUGACCAGAAUUAAGGCGGAGCUCGAUGAAAUGCAGCAGCGAUAUGAUACCCUCAACCGGGAUUAUACGCUUGCCAAGGAACAGAUCGACCAGCUGGAGCAGGAGCUGGUUAAGGCAACACAAGCUUCGCGCGAACAAAGCAAACUAAAUGAACGCAUCGCAUACCUCGUGAAGCGCGAGGAGGACCUGCUAAAGGAAAGUCACGAGCUGCGUGAACAAAACGAACUGCUCGAAUUUCGUAUAAUCGAGCUCGAGGAAAGCCAUGACAAGUGGUCGCUUCGAAACAACUCGAGUCCGACGGUUGGCAGCGGAACGACAAAGGAUGGUUGGACGGACACCGAAAAGGAGCACGAUGAGUUGAUAAUGCUCUCAGAGCGAUCUGAUUCCGGUGUCACCUCACCGAACAGUCAUCACCAUUUGGAGGAUCAGCAGAGCGGUGUACCGUCGCCAUGUGAUUUAUCGCUCUUGGAUCAAAUACCCACAGACGAUGUGCGCAAGCGCCUCGUCGCUAUGACCAAGCGCUCGUGCUACGACGAGGAGGAUAAACUGUGUUUCCUACAGAUUCUGUCACUGCUAAACAACCUCGAAGCACUUUCACAGGAUCACGAGAUUACCGGCGAAGAUAUGAGUCUUGAACCGUCAGUCCAAAAGUACAACUAUAGCUUGCCCGACAGUAGCACACCACCAAAGGCGCUACUGCAUUCGGCAGCGGCCGCAGUAAUGAAUAGUUCCACACCCUUUAAAGCCGGUACGGGAAGAAUUGUCGCUACCGUGCAACCGUUCCACAGCUCCGACCAGCAUGUGCCCACCUCAACAUCUCAACCAAAAGCGACAUCAAUUGCAUCGAUCGCCGAAACGUUUGGUGGCAUGAAGAAAUCGACACGCUGGAAUAACGCUACCAGCUUGCAAGAGAGCGGUGUAUUUGUGGACGAACCGUGUAGUCACGUUGCCACGCAGACGGAAACGGAAGACUUCCCUGCGCUGGAAAAGACGAACGCCGAACUGUGCGCGGAGAUUGAAAAGUUGAACCGAUUCCGAGAGAAGAUCGAAGAGUGCAAAGGCGUCGCAGCUGCUGUCUGUAAGACGCCCAACAAGGGCUCGAUGGUGGCGUUAAACCUUCCGGCCGCGAGUGGUGACGAAGCAUGUGAUAGACGCCGGCUACAGUUCUACGUCGAGCGAGCAGAAAUGCUUGAAAACAAGCUGAAGGUGUAUGAGAGCAGCGGUGAUCAACAGCAACGGCAUCUGUCGGAGCGAUUGCAACGCGAGGUGCAGCUGGAAACCUGGGUGAAACAACUAUCGGAAAAGCUCGGCCGGGUGGAGCUGGAAAAUGAGCGACUCGAGGAGGAACGCUGUGAGCUAGAGGAGAUCGAAAAUGACACCCGUCUACGGUUGCAGCGACUCGAGGAAGAUUUGGAAGUGAUGGGACAGCGAAACGAAGAACUCGAAAUGUCCAGAAGCUCCUACCAGUCAAAGUUCCAGGAUGCGAAGGAAAACAUAACCAACUUGGAGGAGCUGAUACACAAAUACGAGGAAAAGAUCUUCCUUCUCGAAGAGAACGAAAACGAGCUGCGAGAGAAGAUCGAGUUAAUCUACAUGUUCAUACCGAUGAUGCUACUGUACAACAGCUGGCAGCUCCAGGAGCAGUUCAAACAGUAUCAUGCAACUUUGAUGGCACAGCAUUCGUUCCAUCAACAGAAGCAGCAAAAAUCCACAUUGUCGUAUGCAGAACCCCAUGCCAUCCAGUGUAUCCCAACGGAACACAUCGACUACUACGAUAGCAGCCGUUCGCAAGCGGACGAUUUGCAGGGUCGAUUGAGCGAGCUAAUGAGUCGGGAAAAAGAAUUGACGCAAAACAUUGCCGAGCUGAACCGAGCCUACAACGAGACGCUGGAAAAUGCGGACAACUUGUGGGCACAGAUGGAGCGCGAGUACAAGGAAAAGAUCAGUCGCUGCGAGCAGGAGGAGGCAACGCUCAAGUCCAAAAUAGCACAGCUCGAGGAACGUCUGAGCAAGGACAGUGAGUAUGCGAGCGAACGCAUCGCCCAUCUAGAAGAGGCCGAAAACAGCCUGAAGAGUCGCGUCAGCCGACUAGGAAAGGAGAACAAAGAACUGUCCGCUAAGCAUGGUGCUUUGCUGGAAGAAUACGGCACACUGAAGGACGAUUACGCCAAACUACAGAACUACCUGCGCGGUCCGGCUGCGGAAGCAUUGGAGCGAGAAAAGAAACGAGUACUUGCGCUAGAAGAUGAGCUAGCGCAUACCGCACAGAUGCUACGUGAUGGUGAAGAAUCACACCGCACGGAGGUGGGUACACUACGGGGUCGUUUACUAACCUCGACCAAGGAGUUGAACCACAUUGAGGUGACGAAUAGUGAGUUGCGCGAGGAGGUAGAAACGCUUGAAGCGCGCAUCCGUGAGCUGAUGUCCCAGCGAGGAAACGAUGAGGAACGCAUUAAACAGCUCACGGAAGAGCUGGAAGCGAAGCAGUCACAGAUUGUUGCACUGCAGCAUGCGCGGAAAAUUGGUGGCACCGGUGCUGGCAGCAACCGGUCGUCAGUCGGACGUAGUUUGGCGCAAGAACUCGAACGUCCGCUCAAGGGCACUUACACACGCCACGGGUACGAGGUACAUCCACUCGGUCGUAAAUUUCCCGACAGUGAUAGCAGUGGCAGUGGAGGCGAGGAUCGAAGCAAAUUUCCUCACACGAGACCGUCGGCAUUUGAAACCAAAGAAGUGAAGAGCCUUGCUGAGACGAUCAUUCUGAAUGCCGAAAGCAGGGGAGUGAAGACGCCAAAGAAAUCCUUCGUUGAGGAGGCUCGCAGUCGAUUCGCCCGUUGGGUGUGAGAUGCUGAAUCCUGGAUACGAGUGGACAGGAUGUCCACAAAACUCCUGCCAAAUUUUGCUGGAAUAAGUACAAUCCCCAUACCCAAGCCCGAGCGAGUCAUCCCUUCGAUGUUUUCCCUAACCGAUCUCGAACAAGGACUGUUUCAUUUCCCGAUACAACCCCUAGCAACACCGUCACCAUACCAGCACACUGAUACACGCACUAUGAACACACAGCAACCGACUCAACUGUUUUGAGUCAGCAAGCUCUGCAUCAUCAACCCCUAUGGCACACACGGCUGUGAAGUUGAGUGUUGCUUUCACACCUUCAAACCCCCGUCUUGCACAGCAUCCUAAGCGUCCUAUGGUCCUUGUUGCGUAUCCUUCCCGCUUUGUCCCGGACCUGCCAAUAGGCCAGAAAGCUUCCAACGUGAUGAACUGAUGAUACCAACUGGCCAGAAAAGCAUUCCCGCUAUACACGUGGGACUUCCGGACUGGACACUUGUGCCAGCAUCUCCUGCAAUGGACAAUCGGUCGCCUUCUCCAGCAUUCGAAAGGCGUCCUAUUACCUCGAUUCUGACUUCAAGCCUUCCCUCCAAAACUUUCGGGUCGGCCAUUUUUACCACCUCCCAGUGUAAAGGUGGUCUGGAACAUGUGUCACCAAGUUAGCAGCGUCGGGAAGGCCAUGAAAAGAAGAGAAGAAAAAUCUAGUCGUUUGUUUUUGUUGAAUGUGUUUAUAUUUGAGGUACUCCACAAAUAGUGUUAAAGCUGUACUAUGCUAAUGCAGAAAAGGUUGCAGCGCCGUAAAACAGUGGGCGCAUAAAAGAUGCCACAUUGUGAGGCGUUAGAUUGUGGUGCGUUACAGGCACUACCGCUGUUUAGACGUUUGUCCAUGGCAGUGGAUCGAAGAAAGCAUGCGCACACCAUCCCACUACCAUUUGCUUUAGACCCAGACUCUGUAAUAUAGACUGAGCAGUAGCAUGAUGGUAGAAUCGUGUAGAACAGUUAGUUUUUUUUGUUUGCAAUAAUUAAAUUAGUUUGAGCGUUCGCUUUGCGUUUAUUGGUUAAAUCAUUAUUUCUCAUCCUAGCGAAUAGUUACGUUAAGCUUUCUUUGCCUUCCAUACCAGCCAAUAAUGGAGGACUUAUGUUUACAGUUAGCAAAUACCGCUUCUGUUCUAUAUAACUUGUCCAAUUUUGUUCUCAGUUGCGUAAAUGAUAUAUUGGUAACCCCGACAGCAAUGUGGGUGAAAGUUUGCCUUUAUUUGUUUUUUAUAUUAUGUUUUGUUUAUGUACAGUUUGCUUGCAUUAGUUUGGGUUUGUAAUAUAUUUUUAUGAUAUGAAAUAGUUCGAUUGGCUACAAUUGUCCUAUCUAGAUAAUGGACAAAUCAAUGGCUAGUAUUCUCUGUGCUAUUCUGUACGACUAUAGCGAUUGAAACAAAUAAAACAUUAUUUAAAAUGAACAGCCAUGCAAGUGAACAAUGAUCCUUCCGCCCCGGGAAUCGGAAUGAGAUUCGUUUCAGGUGCUUUUUGGAACGAUAUUGUGCCGUCAACAUCAACCGAACCCCGUAAAACGGUUAUUCGAGCUUCGAAAAUGAUGAACAAUUAGUUCCAGAGGAAUCUGCAUUCUACCGGAGGCGUAGAGCAAACUUGUGAGCUUCCAGGGUAUUAUUUAAACGGUGUUACAACAGACUCAUUAUGCAUGUCCCACAUUAAUCAAUUGUUCAGGUUUUUUUUGUAAAAAGUGAACAUGUAGAAAAAGCGAGUGAAAUGGAAUGUAAGAAAGUUGAGAACGAGUGAGGGAAAGAGAAAGAAGCGGAAACAAAGAAAACAAUAAACAAAUAAAUACCGUAGAUAUGGUAGUAAAAAUAUA